rnacentral:rRNA from 1 species
AGCGAACGCUGGCGGCAGGCUUAACACAUGCAAGUCGAACGGGCAUCUUCGGAUGUCAGUGGCAGACGGGUGAGUAACACGCGGGAACGUACCCUUCGGUUCGGAAUAACUCAGGGAAAUUUGAGCUAAUACCGGAUACGCCCUUUUGGGGAAAGGUUUACUGCCGAAGGAUCGGCCCGCGUCUGAUUGGCUUGUUGGUGGGGUAACGGCCUACCAAGGCGACGAUCAGUAGCUGGUCUGAGAGGAUGAUCAGCCACACUGGGACUGGGACACGGCCCAGACUCCUACAGGAGGCAGCAGUGGGGAAUAUUGGACAGUGGGCGCAAGCCUGAUCCAGCCAUGCCGCGUGAGUGAUGAAGGCCUUAGGGUUGUAAAGCUCUUUUGUCCGGGACGAUAAUGACGGUACCGAAAGAAUAAGCCCCGGCUAACUUCGUG